CGUGUAGGCGGUUUUAUAAGUCUGAUGUGAAAGCCCUGGGCUCAACCCAGGAAGUGCAUUGGAUACUGUAAGACUUGAAUACGGGAGAGGGCAGUGGAAUUCCUAGUGUAGGAGUGAAAUCCGUAGAUAUUAGGAGGAACACCGGUGGCGAAGGCGGCUGCCUGGACCGAUAUUGACGCUGAGACGCGAAAGCGUGGGUAGCAAACA
rnacentral:rRNA from 1 species